rnacentral:piRNA from 1 species
UAGAGCACUGGGUCAGAUUCAUA